AUAAACCAGUUUUAAGUCGCAUUUAUAAGUACACCGGUUUCAUAACUGGCUACUUUAUGCUAUUGUAAUGAUCUAGGAGCUGCCGCUGCCAACAAAAACUCUAGCAUUGUUUCUAUACUUGUUACCGUAUACGGUCAAGUAUUUUAUCACUUCGCGCGUCCUCUUCGACACUUCCGAGAAAAAGUACGUCAUCUCAACAAUAUACAUAAUGAAAUAAAAAAAUAAAUACAACGACUGAUCCAAAAUGCUUUAGUACCGGUCCACUUGUUGCUCGUGACUGACUAGCUACGGCGUGUCGUCUGAAACUAAUUCCUUUGAGUGUGAUGCCCUCUACAGUAUAGACAGAUCUUACGUUUCCUUAUAAACGGUGUAAAACCAGUGACAGUAAG